AAAUUGAAGAGUUUGAUCAUGGCUCAGAUUGAACGCUGGCGGCAGGCCUAACACAUGCAAGUCGAACGGUAACAGGAAUCAGCUUGCUGAUUUGCUGACGAGUGGCGGACGGGUGAGUAAUGUCUGGGAAACUGCCUGA
rnacentral:rRNA from 1 species